UUAACGGCGUUAAAAAAUGUUAACAUUUAAGUGACUGUACAUGUCAGGUGUCCAAUUAUCGUUGACGUGGCAGACAAUGAAAGUAGUACGUGUAAAAUAAAAUAAAUUGUUUAUGUUUUUUUAAAAUGUAGUUAAAUUAAGUUUGGGAAAAAAAUUAGGGCAGAGUGAAAUUGAAGAAAUUGGGGCAAGUGAAAUUGGGGAUUUUUUUUUCUUCGUUCUAUGACUCUGUGAGACAGAGCUUGUCAUCAUCCCUGUUUCCAUUUUCCCAACAUGAUUAUCCUAUCCGACCCAUAGCACAACUCCGUUCAUCGACCGAUAUAGGAAGCAUGUCAUCAUCCCUGUUUUCCACUUUUCUAUCAAUUUAUCUCAUGCUUCUCAGAACACUUCAAAACAAAGCUCCCUCAACCACAUCCACCCAAUUCAAUGCAUAUUGUUUAACCAAACUUACCGUUGAUUGUUUCUCACCAUGAUUGUUUCUCUCUGCCCCGACAAGUUGUUAGGCUUUCCUCGUCCUCGCCGAUGAAGGUAGUGGAAGCUACAAUUUCCUUACCACCUCUCCCCCUUUUCUCUGCUUUUUUCCGUCG
rnacentral:lncRNA from 1 species